rnacentral:tRNA from 1 species
UAGGAAAUAGUAAAAUGGGUUUACAGAGAGUUUUGGUCUCUCAGUUGUGGGUUCAAUUCCCACUUUUCUAA